rnacentral:rRNA from 1 species
CGACCAGUCUGACUGGGAAGGACGCUUUUAUUAGAUCAAGACCAAUCGCCCGGCUCGUUCGGGCGUUGCCUUGGUGACUCUAGGUAACACAUCAGAUCGCACGGUCCUCGCACCGGCGACUUAUCCUUCAAAUGCCUGACUUAUCAACUGUCGAUGGUAGACUCUAUGUCUACCAUGGUUGUAACGGGUAACGGGGAAUCAGGGUUCGAUUCCGGAGAGGGAGCCUGAGAAACGGCUACCACAUCCAAGGAAGGCAGCAGGCACGCAAAUUACCCACUCCCGGCACGGGGAGGUAGUGACAAAAAAUAACGAUACGGGACUCUUAUGAGGCCCCGUAAUCGGAAUGAGUACACUUUAAAUCCUUUAACAAGGAUCCAUUGAAGGGCAAGUCUGGUGCCAGCAGCCGCGGUAAUUCCAGCUUCAAUAGCGUAUAUUAAAGUUGUUGCGGUUAAAAAGCUCGUAGUUGGUUCUGCGUGCCACGCUGUCGGUUCGCCGCCUGCCGGUGUAACUGGCAUGCCGUGGCAUGUCCUGUCGGUGGCGUUCGGGAGCCUCGCCUAGGUGCCGGCCCUUGCCAAAAGCUUGGUGCUCGGAGGCCGGGGGGUAUACCCGUUCGCCUACUCUAUCCUACCUAGGUGCUCUUCACCGAGUGGCCAAGGUAGGCCGACACGUUUACUUUGAACAAAUUAGAGUGCUCAAAGCAGGCUGAAAUCUCUGCCUGAAUAGUGGUGCAUGGAAUAAUAAAACAGGACCUUGGUUCUAUUUUGUUGGUUCUUAGGAACACAAGGUAAUGAUCAAUACGGACAGGCGGGGGCAUUCGUAUUGCGACGUUAGAGGUGAAAUUCUUGGAUCGUCGCAAGACGCACAAGAGCGAAAGCAUUUGCCAAGUAUGUCUUGAUUGAUCAAGAACGAAAGUUAGAGGUUCGAAGGCGAUCAGAUACCGCCCUAGUUCUAACCAUAAACGAUGCCAGCCAGCGAUCCGCCGAUGUUCCUCCGAUGACUCGGCGGGGAGCUUCUUCCCGGGAAACCAAAGCUUUUGGGUUCCGGGGGAAGUAUGGUUGCAAAGCUGAAACUUAAAGGAAUUGACGGAAGGGCACCACCAGGAGUGGAGCCUGCGGCUUAAUUUGACUCAACACGGGAAACCUCACCAGGCCAGGACAUUGGAAGGAUUGACAGAUUGAUAGCUCUUUCUUGAUUCAGUGGGUAGUGGUGCAUGGCCGUUCUUAGUUGGUGGAUCGAUUUGUCUGGUUAAUUCCGAUAACGAACGAGACUCUAGCCUAUUAACUAGGCGUUUUCCGGUGCCCCCGUCACCGGCGACAAUCAUUCUUCUUAAGGGGACAGGCGGCUUUUAGCCGCACGAGAUUGAGCAAUAACAGGUCUGUGAUGCCCUUAGAUGUCCUGGGCCGCACGCGCGCUACACUGAAGGAAUCAGCGUGUGCCUCCCUGGCCGAAAGGCCCGGGUAAUCCGCUGAACCUCCUGCGUGC